UUUGCAGCCAUGUGGUGAUCUACACCUGUGAACCACGUAAACUGAAUUAGUGUUUCUAUUUUUUCCGUUAUUUUUUCUAUUUUUUCCGUUAAUUAUCUUCGUGACGGGACAGUUCGCAGCUUUUACCUGUAGGAAUGGACACGGGAAAUCCUUCAGGAUAAAAUGGAGUAACGACGCUUCAUGGAAUAGAUGGCCAUUGUUGUCGAAGUGACAUCUUUAUUGCAAAAGCCAUGCUGUAAAACUUAUUGCUACGGGAUCAACACCGACGCGUUUGAAGCUCUGCCGUUUCGCUUAUGAUGGAAACGGCAUUCAUCAAAGAAGAACGAGUGAAGAUAAUUGGCAGAGAUAGAGCUGUGGACCAUUCUGUAGCAAGAUCUUGGCCUUCAAUAGGAAAAGAUAGCAUGUAAAAAAGGAAUAAGAUGGUUGGAACUGCUGUGAUCUGUGGAAAUGAUGUCAAGUAAUAUUCUAUGCAAAGGGCUUAGCAUAUGACUCUUCGCCCUCAAGCCACUUCAUUUGGGUGACAGUUCAGCUUUUCCUUUCGAUAUCGCUGCCAGAUAAAUAUCACUUUUAGUAUAAUAAUUGUGUCGUUUCUUAGUGAUUGGAGUUUUAAUUCUUGUCAAAUGGAGGACUUGCUUUAUCGGGGAACCCGUUUUUUUUUUUCGUUUUUUUUUUUGUAGUAGUAGUAGUAGUAGUAGAUUCCAUUAAAGCUGAAUCGUAUAAGGUUGGUAAUUUUUCAGUGUUGUGGUGAAUAAUAUUGUCUAACAGAACAAACUUUUAAGUAAUCGUUUCAAUAGUAAAAGUAAUUAACGACCCCAGAAUCGUUUUUACUUUAGCUUUUUGAAAUAAUUAUGCCUCUUGAUUUUAGUGACUAGAAACUGUAAUUUACAUAAAAUGUCCGUCAUAUUAACAUUGUACUUUGUUUUCUUACACUACUGUGUCCGUGCUAUAGAAGCACAACAUCAGUGUGCGUGUGUGUGUGUGUGUGUGUGUGUGUGUGUGUGUGGUUUUUAUCCAGAUACAGGAGCUAGAAGGUUUUUAAUGGUUUAACGUUGUAUCUUGUCAGUACUGAAGUACCAUUCAUGAAAUUGUAUUGUGUGUUUAUCUUUUUAUUAUUGAAUAAUGUAAAAUUCUAGUUUUAUCUGUGGUCACUCAAUAACAUUUUCGUGUGAAUUCCAGUUUUCUAUAUCUUACAGCUGGAAUAAAUGUUUACCGUUUUGCAUUCAGUGACAAUUUACAAGUCCAUUGAAUUAUCACAGUUUGCAAAAUAAGUUUAUU